GUACACUCCUGCGGGAGGCAGCAGUGGGGAAUUUUGGACAAUGGGCGAAAGCCUGAUCCAGCAAUGCCGCGUGUGUGAAGAAGGCCUUCGGGUUGUAAAGCACUUUUGUCCGGAAAGAAAUCCUUGGCUCUAAUACAGUCGGGGGAUGACGGUACCGGAAGAAUAAGCACCGGCUAACUACGUGCCAGCAGCCGCGGUAAUACGUAGGGUGCGAGCGUUAAUCGGAAUUACUGGGCGUAAAGCGUGCGCAGGCGGUUUGCUAAGACCGAUGUGAAAUCCCCGGGCUCAACCUGGGAACUGCAUUGGUGACUGGCAGGCUAGAGUAUGGCAGAGGGGGGUAGAAUUCCACGUGUAGCAGUGAAAUGCGUAGAGAUGUGGAGGAAUACCGAUGGCGAAGGCAGCCCCCUGGGCCAAUACUGACGCUCAUGCACGAAAGCGUGGGGAGCAAACAGGAUUAGAUACCCCUGUAGUCCCAUGAU
rnacentral:rRNA from 1 species